GAUGAACGCUGGCGGCGUGCCUAAUACAUGCAAGUCGAGCGAACUGAUUAGAAGCUUGCUUCUAUGACGUUAGCGGCGGACGGGUGAGUAACACGUGGGCAACCUGCCUGUAAGACUGGGAUAACUUCGGGAAACCGAAGCUAAUACCGGAUAGGAUCUUCUCCUUCAUGGGAGAUGAUUGAAAGAUGGUUUCGGCUAUCACUUACAGAUGGGCCCGCGGUGCAUUAGCUAGUUGGUGAGGUAACGGCUCACCAAGGCAACGAUGUAUAGCCGACCUGAGAGGGUGAUCGGCCACACUGGGACUGAGACACGGCCCAGACUCCUACGGGAGGCAGCAGUAGGGAAUCUUCCGCAAUGGACGAAAGUCUGACGGAGCAACGCCGCGUGAGUGAUGAAGGCUUUCGGGUCGUAAAACUCUGUUGUUAGGGAAGAACAAGUACGAGAGUAACUGCUCGUACCUUGACGGUACCUAACCAGAAAGCCACGGCUAACUACGUGCCAGCAGCCGCCGCGGUAA
rnacentral:rRNA from 1 species